AUGAACGAACAGACGAAGCUGGUAGUUCAGGCAACAACACUGAUAGUUGUGAUUCAGGCAUGGGCCUUAUUGAUCCACAAGAGAGAUGUUAGUCGUGGUGACAAGCCUGUCAUCUGUUAUGCUGCAAUAUUAACCCGUGAUCAGGAGGGGAUAUCGAAUUUGAACUACAUCCACAACUGCAAUGACACAGAGACUCUGUGGUUGCUUAUGAAAAGAGCACGUUUUGCCACACUUGUGUAGACCUUCAGAAGCAGGGGGCUGCUACGAGAUAUCAUUCACACUAGUGUGGAAGAGCAAGUUGCCAUGUCCCUCCAUAUUGUCGGUCAUAACCAGAGGUUCAGGGUUAUCCACAACACGUUCAGGAGAUCAAUGGAGACCAUUUACAGGUACUUCAGGCAAGCGUUGUACGUUGUUGACGAACUCAGAGGAGAGAUGAUCAGGUCACCAACCGGACGGACUCCUAGCAAGAUUCGCACUAGUCCAAGAUGGUAUCCAUAUUUCAAGGUGAGCACUGACAGUAUGUAG
rnacentral:rRNA from 1 species